UGCAGCAACGCCGCGUGAGGGAUGACGGCCUUCGGGUUGUAAACCUCUUUUAGUAGGGAAGAAGCGAAAGUGACGGUACCUGCAGAAAAAGCACCGGCUAACUACGUGCCAGCAGCCGCGGUAAUACGUAGGGUGCAAGCGUUGUCCGGAAUUAUUGGGCGUAAAGAGCUCGUAGGCGGUUUGUCGCGUCUGCUGUGAAAUCCCGAGGCUCAACCUCGGGCUUGCAGUGGGUACGGGCAGACUAGAGUGCGGUAGGGGAGAUUGGAAUUCCUGGUGUAGCGGUGGAAUGCGCAGAUAUCAGGAGGAACACCGAUGGCGAAGGCAGAUCUCUGGGCCGUAACUGACGCUGAGGAGCGAAAGCAUGGGGAGCGAACAGGAUUAGAUACCCUGGUAGUCCAUGCCGUAAACGUUGGGCGCUAGAUGUAGGGACCUUUCCACGGUUUCUGUGUCGUAGCUAACGCAUUAAGCGCCCCGCCUGGGGAGUACGGCCGCAAGGCUAAAACUCAAAGGAAUUGACGGGGGCCCGCACAAGCGGCGGAGCAUGCGGAUUAAUUCGAUGCAACGCGAAGAACCUUACCAAGGCUUGACAUACACCGGAAACGGCCAGAGAUGGUCGCCCCCUUGUGGUCG
rnacentral:rRNA from 1 species